GCCGGCAUGGAGUAGUGGUUUGAGUACUAGACUAUGAAUCUGGAGAUCAGGGUUCAAAUCCCUGCUUGUCCACG